UACGAAGGGGACUAGCGUUGUUCGGAAUUAUUGGGCGUAAAGAGCUCGUAGGCGGUUUGUCGCGUCUGCUGUGAAAACCCGGGGCUCAACCUCGGGCCUGCAGUGGGUACGGGCAGACUAGAGUGCGGUAGGGGAGAUUGGAAUUCCGGGUGUAGCGGUGGAAUGCGUAGAGAUCCGGAAGAACACCGGUGGCGAAGGCGGUGAGCUGGGCAGUUGCUGACACUGAGGAGCGAAAGCAUGGGGAGCGAACAGG
rnacentral:rRNA from 1 species